rnacentral:rRNA from 1 species
UACGUAGGGGGCUAGCGUUGUCCGGAAUCAUUGGGCGUAAAGAGCGUGUAGGCGGUUCGGUAAGUCUGUCGUGAAAUCCUGAGGCUCAACCUCGGGCGUGCGAUGGAUACUGCCGGGCUAGAGGGUGGUAGAGGCGAGUGGAAUUCCCGGUGUAGCGGUGAAAUGCGCAGAUAUCGGGAGGAACACCAGUAGCGAAGGCGGCUCGCUGGGCCACACCUGACGCUGAGACGCGAAAGCUAGGGGAGCGAACAGG